CCCGGCCACGGCGCGCCUGCUCUGGGCUCUCCGCGUGCCGCGUCGCUUUCUUUUCUUCCUCUGGAGCAGUUAUGGCGGCGGCGAAGACCCUGAACCCCAAGGCCAAGGUGGCCGGAGCGCAGGCGGCGCUGGCGUUCAACAUUAGCGGGGCGCGGGGUCUGCAGGACGUGCUGAGGACCAACCUGGGGCCCAAAGGGACCAUAAAGAUGGCCUUCAUCCCAGAAUAAUCACUGAAGGAUUUGAAGCUGUGAAGGAAAAGCCCUUCAUUUUUUGGAAGAAGUCAAAGUAAGCAGAGAGAUGGACAAGGAAACACUUAAAGAUGUGGCCAGGGCAUCUCUUUGUACUAAAGUUCAUGCUGAACUUGCAGAUGUCUUAACAGAGGCUGUAGUGGGCUCCAUUUUGGCCAUUAAAAGAAAAGAUGAACCUAUUGAUCUCUUCAUGAUUUUGUGAUCAUUGACAAGAAACAUAAAUCUGAAACUGAUACAAGGGAAUUGACCCCUUUUCCUUAGAUGCUCUUUCAAAGAAGGCAUAGUCGCUCUUCACAGAGCUAAAAGGAGGAAUAUGGAGAGGCUGACUCUUGCUUGUGGUGGGGUGGCCCUGAAUUCUUUUGAGGACCUAAGUCCUGACUGCUUGAGACAUGCAGGACUUGUAUAUGAGUAUACAUUGGGAGAAGUUCACCUUUAUUGAGAAGUGUAACAACCCUCGUUCUGUCACAUUAUUGAUCAAAGGACCAAAUAAGCCCACACUUAGAUCAAAGAUGCAGUAAGGGAUGGCUUGAGGGCUGUCAAAAAUGCUAUUGAUGAUGGCUGUGUGGUUCCGGUGCUGGUGCCGUGGAAGUGGCAAUGGCAGAAGCCCUGAAUAAAUAUAAGCUCAGUGUAAAGGGCAAGGCACAGCUUGGAGUCCAAGCAUUUGCUGAUGUGUUGCUCGUUAUUCCCAAGGUGAGCCCGUGGUAGCAGCAGAAGCAGGCAUUAUGGGAUAACGAUUGUGUAAAGAAACAGCUUCUUCAUUCCUGCACUGGUUGCCACCAACAUUCUCUUGGUUGAUGAGAUCAUGCGAGCUGGAAUCUUCUCUGAAAGGUUGAAUUGAAGCUUCCUCUGUAUCUGAGUCUUGAAGACUCUGCAAAGUGAUCCUGAAGAAUACAGCUGUGGAAUUUUUGUCCAAGCUUCAAAUGAGUUUCAAGGGAAUUUUCCCAUGUGAAAAAAGGAGAGAACACUGGCAUCUGUUGAAAUUCGGAAGUUCUGAAAUUAUAAUCACAGUAUUUUUUAAAAAUUGCACUGAAGUGUACACAGAUAAAGCAGGUCUUUCACCCAGUGAACAGGAUGUUUUGCUUUAGCAGCAGUGACAUAAAAUUCCAUGUUAAAUAAGCAUAUAUUACCUACCUUAUUAAAUAUUCCUUGAAAAAGCAGAUUUUAAUGGUUUAAUUUUAUGUGGACAUAUGUUAAAUUAUUCAGCAGUACCCUAUUGUUAAGCAUCUGGUUUUAAAAUUUUUAUGCUAAUAUAAAUAACGCUUAGUAAUUUAAAAUUUUGGAAGCAUCCCGUUAGUGUAAAUUUCUGAGUAAAUUUAUUGAUCAGUUGGACUUUUCACGCUUUUGAAAUAGCUUUGCUAAAAUGCUCCCCCUACAAAGUUGUAGGAAAUGGGAAGAGGAGUAAACUAGAGGCAAGGGAGUUGAGAGAGCUGGAAGGCAUGGUGGCUAAGGGCUACGGUUAUCAGGUGAAAUUUGAGAUUUGUAGGCUGACUAUAUUUUCAAGCUUCUGAACUUUUGCUUAUGCAAAAUAUUCAUCCCAAAGCCUCUAGCGUCAUAGUUUCCUCACCCAAAUUACUAUGUUUCCACAAGAUUUAUAUAGUUGGUCUAUCUCUGCGGUCCUUGAAAGUGAAGUUGGUGUUACUAGGCUGUGGGUUUUGGGGGCUCAGCAGUGACCUGGAGUGUGCAAAUAAAUGUUAAGUUGAAACCUC
rnacentral:lncRNA from 1 species